rnacentral:rRNA from 1 species
GAUGAACGCUAGCGGGAGGCCUAACACAUGCAAGCCGAGCGGUAUUGUUUCUUCGGAAAUGAGAGAGCGGCGUACGGGUGCGGAACACGUGUGCAACCUGCCUUUAUCUGGGGGAUAGCCUUUCGAAAGGAAGAUUAAUACUCCAUAACAUAUUGAUUGGCAUCAAUUAAUAUUGAAAGCUCCGGCGGAUAGAGAUGGGCACGCGCAAGAUUAGCUAGUUGGUGAGGUAACGGCUCACCAAGGCGAUGAUCUUUAGGGGGCCUGAGAGGGUGAUCCCCCACACUGGUACUGAGACACGGACCAGACUCCUACGGGAGGCAGCAGUGAGGAAUAUUGGUCAAUGGGUGCAAGCCUGAACCAGCCAUCCCGCGUGAAGGACGACUGCCCUAUGGGUUGUAAACUUCUCUUGUAUAGGGAUAAACCUACCCUCGUGAGGGUAGCUGAAGGUACUAUACGAAUAAGCACCGGCUAACUCCGUGCCAGCAGCCGCGGUAAAAC